CCUACGGGAGGCAGCAGUGAGGAAUAUUGGUCAAUGGACGAGAGCCUGAACCAGCCAAGCAGCGUGAAGGAUGACUGCCCUAUGGGUUGUAAACUUCUUUUAUAUGGGAAUAAAACAGGGUAUGCAUACCCUCUUGUAUGUACCAUAUGAAUAAGGAUCGGCUAACUCCGUGCCAGCAGCCGCGGUAAUACGGAGGAUCCGAGCGUUAUCCGGAUUUAUUGGGUUUAAAGGGAGCGUAGGUGGAUUGUUAAGUCAGUUGUGAAAGUUUGCGGCUCAACCGUAAAAUUGCAGUUGAAACUGGCAGUCUUGAGUACAGUAGAGGUGGGCGGAAUUCGUGGUGUAGCGGUGAAAUGCUUAGAUAUCACGAAGAACUCCGAUUGCGAAGGCAGCUCACUGGACUGCAACUGACACUGAUGCUCGAAAGUGUGGGUAUCAAACAGGAUUAGAUACCCUUGUAGUC
rnacentral:rRNA from 1 species